rnacentral:lncRNA from 1 species
AUAUGGUUGACAUUAGAAGAAAGAUGUAUACAUUUGAUUAAUUUAUGUUUUUUUUUUCAUGCCACUUCAUUUUGUGUUUUAUUUUUUAUUGCUAUGUAGAGAUGUUCUUGAUUUGAUAUUGGUUUAAUUUUUGUUUUAUGAUUUGUUAUUUAUCAUUUACACUCGUUGUGCCAUGUUUAAUUUGUAUAUAGUAGUUAUUUCUCUUUGUGUUCAAUGGAUUAAGUUAUUACAUGUAUAUUUCAUACUUUAAGAUGAAAGCUCCAAAGAUUAUGUAUGUUUAGGUGUAAGUGAAAGCUCCAAAGAUUAUAUAUGUUUAGGUGUAAGUGAAAGUUUGUUCUAUAGACUUGAAAGCUGACUUAUUUUUUGCUGUAUUUAUGUUUGGUCUA